GAUGAAGAACGUAGCGAAAUGCGAUAAGUAGUGUGAAUUGCAGAAUUCCGUGAAUCAUCUAAUCUUUGAACGCACAUUGCGCCUUCUGGUAUUCCGGAAGGCAUGCCUGUUCGAGAGUCAUUAACAACCGUUUCGAUCCCUUUCUUUCAGAAAUUACAAAGAGGAAAAGGGUUUGGUUAUGGUGGAGGAGGGAAAGGGAGCGUUUAGCCUGUAAAAAAAGAGGCUGUGUUCCGCCUCCCCCCCAAAAUUGUACAGGCGGUCGUGUGCGCCCACGCAUCGAGGUGUUGUAAAAGCUGCCACGUCACUUUUCACCUGUGCAGUGCGAGAUUGGCCAGCCGGUUUAAAAACCCCUCCAAACAAUCAAAGGUUGACCUCGGAUCAGGUAGGGAUACCCGCUGAACUUAAGCAUAUCAAUAAGCGGAGGA
rnacentral:misc_RNA from 1 species